rnacentral:rRNA from 1 species
GAGUGGCGCACGGGUGAGUAACACGUGGGUAACCCACCCUUGAGACCGGGAUACCCUCUCGAAAGGGAGGCUAAUACUGGAUACGUUCCCUGGGACGCAAGAUCUGGGGAGGAAAGGUGACGAGAGCUGCCGCUCUUGGAGGGGCUCGCGGCCUAUCAGCUAGUUGGUGAGGUAACGGCUCACCAAGGCUAUGACGGGUAGCUGGUCUGAGAGGACGACCAGCCACACGGGAACUGAGACACGGUCCCGACUCCUACGGGAGGCAGCAGUGGGGAAUUUUCCGCAAUGGGCGAAAGCCUGACGGAGUGACGCCGCGUGGGGGACGAAGGCCUUUGGGUCGUAAACCCCUGUCAGAGGGAAAGAAGGGUCGCGCGGUGAACAGUCGCGUGAUUUGACGGUACCUUCAGAGGAAGCCCCGGCCAACUCUGUGCCAGCAGCCGCGGUAAGACAGAGGGGGCAAGCGUUGCUCGGAAUCACUGGGCGUAAAGGGCGCGUAGGCGGGAGGGCAAGUCGGUCGUGAAAUCCCUCGGCUCAACCGAGGAGCGUCGGCCGAUACUGCCGUUCUUGAGGGAUGCAGAGGAGACUGGAAUUCCCGGUGUAGCGGUGAAAUGUGUAGAGAUCGGGAGGAACACCGGUGGCGAAGGCGGGUCUCUGGGCAUCUCC